GCAUUUCCUUAACGAGCCACUUGAUGGCUGCGGCGGCGCGGCCGCGGCGGGCAGGACCGGCGGGGGGCGGCUGGCUGCCGUGGCGACAGAGACCCGAGCCCAGGCAGCCAGGCCUUGCCUCCAGCUCAGCGUGGAGAGCACCUUCCGGCUACCGGGCGCUGGACAGCGCCUGGCCAGGAAGCUUUUAACAAGAUGCAGCUGAGCGUGUCGAUAUCUUACAUCUUUUUACUGCUGUUUGGGUUGCUCAGCUACUUGAAGCUGCUCACUGCCUCAGACAAACACUGGCACCUUCCAGAGACAAUGUUCCCUGGCUUGAUUUACGCUCAUUGUUACAACUAUCCUUUGGUGCCCUCUGGAAGUACACAGGACAUUGCAAGUAAAGGAAGAGAGUGGGUGUUGAAGUGAAGCACUGUUCUGCCUCUUUCCACUGAAAGCACCAUAUAUAUAUUCACUGUGAAUAGCUCUAUGUAAUGAUUUUGUUAAUGAUUAUUGUUGUGAACAUGGGACUGAAAAUGGAUUAUGGUUCUUAAGUUGACUGUACCAAGUCUUGGGAGUUAAAUGUGUUCAUCUACCUAUCUGUUAAAUCUGGAAUAUUUACUAGGAUUUAUAAUUUCAUUGAAAAAGCAGAUUUAUAUGUCUUUAUUAAGCAAUUGGUGGAUAUUUUCUUUAAAAAUGUUUAAAUUGACUGUCAAUUAACCAUGUGUUUAAAAAAAAAACAAAAAACAAAAACAAAAAACAUGAGGUGAAAUUGAAAUCAACAAAACAGACAAUGAGAAGAGGAGAAAGAGCAGGGCCUGGAAUGUAAGCCCAUACAAAGAUUAUCUUUAUCUGACAAUGUUUCUUCAUUUACUAAAUAUUAAUUUCACUUUGUUGUAUUUAAGCUUAUAAUUGGUUUGACUAGUCUGCUUUAAGAGGAAGAAAUCUCUAAAUUUACAUUUGGAUUUUAGAUUUUGGAGUAAAUACCACGUUCCAGCUUCAGUUUUUAAAUUAGGCUUAGCAAGGCUUCAGUAGCAAAUCUACAGCAAUGAUUUCCUGUUUUAAUAUGUUCUUUAAAUAUUUUAAUAGCAUCAUGAGGAAACUUCUUAAUUAUACAGCACUUCGUAUUGUAGAAUUUAGUAGACUGGGGAAGAAAGCAAAUAGCAGGGUAGUUAUAAAGCUAGGAAGAGCAGAAAGCCUGUUGAGAGGAAGUGUGUGUUUGCAGAGGAGACCUGAUGCCUCUCCAGCUCACCCACUACAGUCAUCCACUGACUUCUUCUGUGGUUUAUUUACCCGAAGGUAGCCACAGUCUAAAAAUGUCUGUAUUUGUCAGGACCAUUUCAAGAGAGGAACCAUGUUGAAAUAACUUUUCUAAAAGUAUAUUUUAUAAUUGUUUGAUUAUUGAUUAUUGUUUCUAAUUGCCUACUGCUCCUAAUUUCUAAGCUACAAGUUAAACUUAUAUGUAUGUAUGGGUAAAGAUUCAGGUAUAUAAGGCUUGGUAGACUCUUUGGUUUCAGCAUCCUCAGGUCUAUGGGAACCAUUAGUAUUUACUUACAGAGUGACCUCUGUGUUAUUGCUUCAACCUAAGAAAAAGUAUACUCAAUAUUUCGUCAACUAUGGCUCUCCUUCUAAUGCUAUGUUAAUUGAACUAGAUUGCAAAUAUAAACAAUAUGUUAAGAAUAGAUCAGGAAAUGAGUCUUCUUUCUUAUUAUAUAUGGGACAAAGAAAACUGUCCAAUUCUCCAGACUUUAUUUUGUCAUUGAAAUAAAAAUUCUGAUUUACCAAA